rnacentral:rRNA from 1 species
UGGGGAAUAUUGGACAAUGGGGGGAACCCUGAUCCAGCCAUGCCGCGUGUGUGAAGAAGGCCUUUUGGUUGUAAAGCACUUUAAGCGGGGAGGAGGCUCUGUCGGUUAAUACCCGAUAGAAGUGGACGUUACCCGCAGAAUAAGCACCGGCUAACUCUGUGCCAGCAGCCGCGGUAAUACAGAGGGUGCAAGCGUUAAUCGGAUUUACUGGGCGUAAAGCGCGCGUAGGCGGCUAAUUAAGUCGGAUGUGAAAUCCCCGAGCUCAACUUGGGAAUUGCAUUCGAUACUGUUUAGCUAGAGUGUAGGAGAGGAUGGUAGAAUUCCAGGUGUAGCGGUGAAAUGCGUAGAGAUCUGGAGGAAUACCGAUGGCGAAGGCAGCCAUCUGGCCUAACACUGACGC